AUUUCCAUGUUCUUAAUUGGGGUUUUCUGAUACUUGACAACUUGAUAUAUUGUUGUACUUUGAUCGAUAGCUUUUUUUAUUCAUGAACAUUUCACUUUUUUCUAAAUGCUGCCAUAGAAUCUACUUUUCUUUAAAAUCUACUUCUUGUUGAUAUCUAUGACUAAUCAUAUAGUACCAACAGUUUCUCUGUUUCAAUGAACUUUUUUUCUUAAUCAACUUUUUCUCUUGUAAAAUAAUAUAUCCUAAUCUUAAACCUUCAGGAUAAAGACCAUGUUAACUCUGUUCACAAUGCACUAUACUCUGUAAAAACUAUACCACUAUUAAAUAAUGAUUUUGUGUGUGAAUAUUAUGUAUUCCACAGAAUGAACUCUGCCUGAGCUCAUUCAGAGAAGAUCACACAAUAUGAUUAUAUAAAAUUUAUAUAGUCCUUUAUCAUUUUGCAAACAUUUCAUAAUCAUUUAAUGGAAGUCUUCAAAACACUAGGAUAGAUUGAUGACUGUUGGCAGGAAAACAAAGAUGAAAUGAUGCAAAUUUGUCAAAUAUCAUAUCACAUGGCACCAGGAAAAACAGGAUUAACAACCCAGUUUCUUAGUCUCUGAUCUACAGAUAUUUUGAUGAGCUCGAGUUAUCGCAGCAUCCGAGUAAGAAACACACCUCUCAUUUCUUUAUUUUUAAAAUAAAUAAAUAAAAAGCAAAUCCCAGUGACUCCUGGAACUUGGGGGUGGAAAAGUGGGGUGGGGGAUGGGGGGGGUCUAGGGGUGGGGUAGGAAAACUACAGGCUAGGGCCAGAGAACAGGAUGGAGGUAAAGGAGAUAAAAAUCGUGGUUGAAUCCUCAUCUACAUUUACAUGGAAGAAGUAUUUAAAAAGCAAGGCCACUGCCUUCCCUCAUCUGAGGCUUCCUCUGGAACCCUGCUGAGUCUUCAUUUGGGAAACAGCAGAACAAGGCAGUAUCUCCUUGGCCAAAUGAACCCCUUUCUGACAACUGUGAAGAUAGUGUUUGUGCCACCAGGACCCUUAAAAAUUAUCCCUAAAAAACACUAAUGUUUAGUCAGUCGAAAAAAAAAAUCUCAGGGUCAAAGGGGAAACAAUAUGCAAAGAGUUAAAAACACCAAACUUGAUUUGGGAUUUAGGAGUUUUGACUUUAGUUUCAGCAGUUUUACUAUUUAACUGUGUGACCUCAGACAAGUGGCUAAACCUCUCUGGACCUCUGAUCCUUCAUAUUUAAUAUGAAUGGACUGGUUAUUAAGUGAUAUCUAAGAACUAUUUUGGAAAUAAAAUUCUCUAAUUUAUGACAGUAAUAAUUAGCAUUCGACAGUGCUUUACCAUCUACAAAUGGCUUCCACAUACACUAUCUAAUUUGACUCUCAUGCCAAUUCUGAGGUAGUAUUAUUAUGAUCAUGCCCAUUUUUCGAGGAGAGGUUGGGAAACCGCAAAAUGGCAGAGCUGGCACUGAACAGAUGUUCCUAAGAGGAAACUACCCCUUCGGUAAAAGAAGAGACUGAUGCUUACAUGGGUUAGUAACAGCAGGCAAUUUAUGGUGUGAGCUCUCGUUUAGGGGUGCAACAAAAUUUCUGGAUGCUGCAGUGGGGUAAUGCUAAUCCACCAUGUGGAAUGUUAUCCAAUGAUGUAUUUAUCAAAAAAAAACUAAUAAAAAGAAAAUUAAAAAAAGAUACAAUAAUUGUUACUGCACUACACCCUAAUGAAUUAUUGUGUUCAAGGCUCCAACAAAAAAAAGUAAUAUUAUACUCGGCUUAUGUUUUAAUUGAUUUAUUAAUAUUUUAUCACAGGAAUGUAAUUUAAGCUCCUCAUGAUUUAGAUCUCAUAAACCUUUAGCAUUUUGCAAAUUCAAAUUCCAAUUUAAAGCCAGGGCGAGCAAUUAACUUUUCUAUCAUCUUGUCAGGGGAGAAGGUUCGUGUUUAAUUUGAGACAAAGUGACAGAAAUAUAUAUACACUGUAUGUAUUACUCCAAUUUAAUUUAUGAGUCAGCACCAUCCACCUUCAAAAUGUAGAUUUAAUAGAAGGGGAGGAAGAAAAGGCCGUGCUGUCAUGAUAGGGCCGUGAUAUCUGCCCUGAAUUUCUUAUAAAAAAAAAAAAA